GACGAAUGCUGGCUGCGUGCUUAACACAUGCAAGUCGAACGGUGAAAGGGAGCUUGCUCCCUGGAUCAGUGGCGAACGGGUGAGUAACACGUGGGCAACCUGCCCCUCACUCUGGGAUAACUCCGGGAACCCGGGGCUAAUACCGGAUACGACCUGGUGCGACAUCGCACCGGGUGGAAAGAACUUCGGUGAGGGAUGGGCCCGCGGCCUAUCAGCUUGUUGGUGGGGUAACGGCCCACCAAGGCGACGACGGGUAGCCGGCCUGAGAGGGCGACCGGCCACACUGGGACUGAGACACGGCCCAGACUCCUACGGGAGGCAGCAGUGGGGAAUAUUGCGCAAUGGGCGAAAGCCUGACGCAGCGACGCAGCGUGAGGGACGAAGGCCUUCGGGUUGUAAACCUCUUUCAGCGGGGACGAAGCGAAAGUGACGGUACCCGCAGAAGAAGCACCGGCUAACCACGUGCCAGCAGCCGCUGUAACAC
rnacentral:rRNA from 1 species